rnacentral:lncRNA from 1 species
AAAUUGGGGACUAACAGGCAGUUAACUCAUUAGUCACCAGCAAUCUUAUUGUUAAUAAAAUAACUGAUUUAUUAUUGACGAGGAGAAUGAAUGUACAAAUUACUUACAAAUGGAAGGUUAAAGAAGAUGAUGACAAGCAUAGUCGGGCUGUAUUCAGUGUAUUUGGCGCUCGAAGGGGAUUGUAAAGAUGAUAGAGAGCUCCAACGUUUUCUUGGCCUUCAAUUACCUUGUUAUUACAAAGAUGCUCUGAUUGGUGAAAUGUUUGAAGAAUACUUGGAGGACAGAGAA